rnacentral:rRNA from 1 species
AGGGCACCACCAGGAGUGGAGCCUGGGGCUUAAUUUGACUCAACACGGAAAAACUCACCCGGGCCGGACACCGUAAGGAUUGACAGACUGAGAGCUCUUUCUUAAUUCGGUGGGUGGGGGUGCAUGGCCGUUCUUAGUUGGUGGAGCGAUUUGUCUGGUUAAUUCCCAUAACCAACGAAACUCUGGCCUACUAACUAGACGUUGGAUCCCUUUGUGGGUCCAUCGCAUCUUCUUAGAGGGACGGGCGGCGUUUAGCCGCACGAGAUUGAGCAAUAACAGGUCUGUGAUGCCCUUAGAUGUUCUGGGCUGCACGCGCGCUACACUGAAAAAAUCAGCGUGUGUUCCCUACCCGAAAGGGUUGGGAAACCCGUUGAACCUCUUUCGUGAUGGGGGAUUGGGGGAUUGCAAUUAUUCCCCCAUGAAACAAGGGAAUUCCCCGUAGGCGGGGGGCAUUAAACCUGCCUCAAUAACUUCCCUGCCCCUUUGUAAAAAAGGCGGUCGUUUUUACGUAGGAGGGAA